rnacentral:miRNA from 17 species
CAAAUUCGUAUCUAGGGGAGUA